rnacentral:rRNA from 1 species
GUUUCCUAAGGGAGGCAGCAGUGAGGAAUAUUGGUCAAUGGGCGCGAGCCUGAACCAGCCAAGUAGCGUGAAGGAUGGCUGCCCUACGGGUUGUAAACUUCUUUUAUAAAGGAAUAAAGUGAGGCACGUGUGCCUUUUUGUAUGUACUUUAUGAAUAAGGAUCGGCUAACUCCGUGCCAGCAGCCGCGGUAAUACGGAGGAUCCGAGCGUUAUCCGGAUUUAUUGGGUUUAAAGGGUGCGCAGGCGGCCUGUUAAGUCAGCGGUAAAAGCCCGGGGCUUAACCUCGGCGAGCCGUUGAAAC